rnacentral:rRNA from 1 species
AUGAUCUACCCCCAGAAAGCUGCAGUGGUCAAUGCAACUACAACAAGGCCGCGACGGUGGUUGCCGCCCGUUGAGAAUCAUGCUAAAAUAAACACGGAUGCAGCAGUCGGUGGACGGGGACGCUUUGGUGCGGUUGCAGCAAUCUGCCGUGAUGGUGGGGGGACAUUUGAAGGUGCGUCGGCAGUCGUAUACAAGACUAUUGGAGACCCGGCUACGCUCGAAGCCUUAGCCAUCAGAGAGUCCCUCUCCCUUGCUGAUGAUCUAUACCUCUAG